rnacentral:lncRNA from 1 species
AAGGGAGGUAAAGCCGAUAAACCGAAUGAACGAUUAGAAGGUAAAAUGAUUGGUGACUUGUUGUUACUCAUUGUUUCUUUAGGUGGGAGAAACCGGGGCAUAGUCCUAUGUUCGGCUACGAUUUUUGGUACCAACCUCGACAUAAAACAAUGAUCAGCUCAUCAUGGGGUGCUCCUGUUGCCUUCACCAAAGGUUUCGAUCUUCAGCAUGUCACGGAUGGUCUGUAUGGGAGACAUCUGCAUGUGUAUAGUUGGCCUGAUGGUGAACUUAAACAAACGUUGGAUCUAGGUGACACCGGUCUCAUACCCUUAGAGGUGAUUGAUUACAUGUUACUACUUCGUUUUUAGCUCGGUUUUGCUCGAAGUCGAUACUUAGUUUUGUUUCAUUUUCAUUGCAGACAAGAUUCCUGCAUGAUCCUUCUAAAGAUACAGGGUACGUUGGGUGCGCCUUAACAAGUAACAUGGUUCGGUUUUUCAAAACCAAAGACGGAUCAUGGAGUCAUGAGGUGGGAUCAUAUAAUCUUGCAUUACCAAUGCUCAUAAAUUUGGACAAGCCUUAUUAUGUACAUAUUAACUUCUGCAGGUGGCAAUCUCAGUGAAACCAUUGAAGGUGCAAAACUGGAUUCUUCCCGAAAUGCCCGGACUUAUAACUGACUUCCUAAUCUCUCUCGAUGAUCGUUUUCUGUAUUUCGCCAACUGGCUGCACGGAGAUGUCCGACAAUACAACAUCGAGGACCCCAAAAACCCGGUCUUGGUCGGCCAAGUAUGGGUUGGAGGAUUGAUCCAAAAGGGAAGCCCUGUAGUGGCUAUGACUGAAGAUGGUAAAACAUGGCAAUCCGAUGUUCCGGAAAUCCUGGUUUGUUCUAACAUUAAUAUCAACUUGUGCGGAUUAAUCAUAUCAAUGGCGAUCGAUGAACAUUGUUACAUCCUUUUACAGGGACAUCGCCUAAGAGGAGGACCACAGAUGAUCCAAUUGAGCCUAGACGGUAAACGAUUAUACGUGACGAACUCUCUAUUCAGCGCAUGGGAUCGACAAUUCUAUCCAGAACUCUUGGAGAAAGGUUCCCACAUGUUGCAGAUCGAUGUCAACACCAUGGAAGGCGGUCUUAAAACAAACCCAAACUUCUUUGUCGAUUUUGGAGCCGAACCUGAUGGACCUUCCCUGGCUCAUGAGAUGAGAUAUCCAGGUGGUGACUGCACUUCAGAUAUAUGGACUUAAACAUCUCAAAAACCAGUUUCAGCCAUGAAGAAAAUCAUCCUUUUAAUUUUGUAGGACAAAAAUAAAAAUCAGUGCAAUUUGUAUGUGAGACAUAUUGAUAGAUAAUGUAAUGUUAAGGGGUUAAUUUAGCAAUAUAUCUUAAAUUUUUAAUCGACUUCCAGUUAAACGCCUUUUAACUUUGGACUUAACUAAAUUAACUGGCAGCUUAUCCAACAUUGAUACGUGUACCAACAAUGGUCCCACUAUACAUUCGGACAAGAUACCAUUGGACAAACACAAAUGUCUCCAGUUCUCAAAACUGUAAGACGCGUGGCAAUCUAACCACCGUCAGUUGAGACUAAUGCUGACAUGGUAAGGAAAAUCGAGAAUCUCAAACACCGCGCCCAUAGAAAAAAUUGAUGGAUACAAAACUUUUGAUAAUUCCCAUGGGACAUUUUCAUACGAAGGGGAACAUUUUAUUCUCACAAUGUUGGACAUUUUUGUAAAAGAAAAAUUAAAAAAAUAAAAGUUAAUUUUACUCCAAAUAAAAAUUAAUUAUUGUCAAAGAUUUGAAUUCCAAAGAUUGGGUUUGAUUAGUCGAUUAAGUUUUAUCUUAAUUAAUAUAGUUAUUAUUAUCAAUAUAAAAGAAUGUGAGUUUGAGUGUGCUGAAAAAUAACUAUGGAUCAGGAACUAUAAAUGAUUCUAGAUAUUAUGUUAAAAAGAGAUAUAAUCAAACCUAAUAUUAUUAAAAAAAUUCAGUUUGAUUUAACUUCAAAUUCAAUCAAAUGGUUAAAUUCUAUUAUUAGCCCUUAUACAAAGUUGUCAUGUACUUUUAUGAAAGUUAUGAUAUUUUCAAAAUUUGAUACGACAGACAUAUUAUCAUAUACGUAAUGUUAUAUUAGCUUAUUAUUUUCACAUUACUAAAAACUCAAUUAAUAGAUUAACAAUGGUAAUUGUUGUCAAGAACAAAAUUUUAAAUUUUGAAAAGUGUAGGAACUAAGAAUGAUCCUAUUGGAGAAUAUAGACUAAAUCUAUAAUUAUAUGUAUAAUACAAGACUAAUAAUUGAAUUUAACUAAACAUAUUUAAGCGUUAUUGUUUGAAUCAGGAUUAAAAUUGACCGAUUCAAAAAAUAUAAAGACUGAAAUUAAUUAAAUUGCGGGGACUAAAUCUACAAUUUUCAUAAAUUACAGAAUUUAACCUAUCGAACCUAAUCCCAAGAUUCUGCCGUAUAGACCCAAUAGCCUAUAAAUUACAGAGGAUUUUCCACUAACUAUUAGAAAAAAAAAUUAAUAUUUUUGUAAGAGAAAAAAAAAAGAAGAGAGAAAAUGGGGGAAAAAAUGGGGUGUUGUAAGAGAACAGGACCUGGAUAUGCAACUCCAUUGGAAGCCAUGUCUGGUCCUAAAGAAACCAUUAUUUAUGUUAAUUGUAUUUAUAAUGGUACUUUUUUCCUUCUUUUUUUUAAUGAUUUUCUGAUCUUUAAAAAUGAGUUUUUUCAAUGGAUUUGUAUAAAUAUAAUUGUAUGAUGUAUGCAGGAACUGGAAGAAAGAAGCCUGAUUUCCUAGCAACAGUUGAUGUAGAUCCAAACUCGCCAACUUAUUCUAAAGUCAUCCACAGGCUAUCUAUGCCAUAUAUAGGUGAUGAACUACAUCACUCAGGAUGGAAUGCAUGCAGCUCUUGUCAUGGUGAUCCAUCGACCACUCGACGUUUUCUAAUCUUGCCUUCCGUCGUGUAAGCAAUUAACCCGGAUUUUCAUAUUAUAUCGAUAGAUACGGACAUAUCUAUGUCGUUAAGGUACCAAGGUGCUGCUUUCGUAGGUCUGGUCGUGUUUAUGUGAUUGACACACAGAAGAAUCCCAGGGCUCCCUCUUUGCAUAAAGUGGUAGAAUCUGAGGAUAUCGUCGAGCAGACCGGCUUAGCGUAUCCGCACACGUCGCAUUGCCUUGCUUCCGGGGAUAUAAUGAUAUCGUGCCUCGGUGACAAAGAUGGAAAUGCUAAAGGGAAUGGAUUUCUCCUCCUUGAUUCCGAAUUCAACGUCAAAGGGAGGUAAAUACGAUAAACUGAAACAAUGUAUAAACGAAUUGUGAAUAACCGUCACUUGUAAAAAAUUUCCAGGUGGGAGAAACCAGGGCAUAGUCCUCUGUUUAGCUACGAUUUUUGGUACCAACCUCGACAUAAAACCAUGAUCGGCUCGUCAUUGGGCGCUCCGGCUACCUUCACCCGAGGUUUCAAUAUCCAGCAUGUUAAAGAUGGUUUGUAUGCUAGACAUUUGCAUGUGUAUAGCUGGCCUGAUGGUGAACUUAAACAAACGUUGGAC